UCUGCGUUACCGCAGCAGUCUCGUGUGACACGUAUAACACACGAUAGGGGUUGCGCUCGUUGAUCCACUUAAGGAGACCUCUCACGAGACGAGCUGACGACAGCCGUGCAUCACCUGUCCAACGGCCUUGCGGGGGAACCGGUUUCCCGGUCCUUUCCUUUGGAUUUCAAGCCCUGGUGAGGUUUCUCGGUUAGAGUCGAAUUGAACCACAUGAUCCACUGCUUGUGCGAAGUCCCGCCUAUUUCUUUGAGUUUUAAUCUUGCGAUCGUACUUCCCAGGCGACACACUUAACGCGUUAGCUUCGCCACUGGAAGGGUCGAUGCUCCCAAUAGCUAGUGUGCAUAGUUUAGGGCGUGGACUA
rnacentral:misc_RNA from 1 species